rnacentral:rRNA from 1 species
UACGGGGGGAGCAAGCGUUGUUCGGAUUUACUGGGCGUAAAGGGCGCGUAGGCGGCGCGACAAGUCACUUGUGAAAUCUCCGGGCUUAACUCGGAGCGGCCAAGUGAUACUGUCGUGCUAGAGUGCGGAAGGGGCAACUGGAAUUCUCGGUGUAGCGGUGAAAUGCGUAGAUAUCGAGAGGAACACCUGCGGCGAAGGCGGGUCGCUGGGCCGACACUGACGCUGAAGCGCGAAAGCCAGGGGAGCGAACGGG